UGGGGUGGGGGAGGGUGUAGAGGCUGGGCUGGCAGACUCAUCACAGCCUCUGCUUCUUCUCAG
ensembl:miRNA Mir6971 microRNA 6971